rnacentral:rRNA from 1 species
GUGUCAGCCGCCGCGGUAAGACGAACCUUGCAAACGUUAUUCGGAAUCACUGGGCUUAAAGGGUGCGUAGGCGGUGCGGCAAGUUGGGUGUGAAAUCCCUCAGCUUAACUGAGGAACUGCGCUCAAAACUGCCGUGCUAGAGGGAGAUAGAGGUGAGCGGAACUUAGGGUGGAGCGGUGAAAUGCGUUGAUAUCCUAAGGAACACCGGUGGCGAAAGCGGCUCACUGGAUCUCUUCUGACGCUGAGGCACGAAAGCUAGGGGAGCGAACGGGAUUAGAUACCCCGGUAGUCCUAGCCGUAAACGCUGAGCACUGGAUUGGAGGGUCCUCCAUAGCCCUCCAGUCGCAGAGAAAUUGUUUAGUGCUCCGCCUGGGGAGUAUGGUCGCAAGGCUGAA